rnacentral:rRNA from 1 species
UACGUAGGGCGCAAGCGUUGUCCGGAAUUAUUGGGCGUAAAGAGCUCGUAGGCGGCUUGUCACGUCGGAUGUGAAAGCCCGGGGCUUAACUCCGGGUCUGCAUUCGAUACGGGCUGGCUAGAGUGUGGUAGGGGAGAUCGGAAUUCCUGGUGUAGCGGUGAAAUGCGCAGAUAUCAGGAGGAACACUGGUGGCGAAGGCGGAUCUCGGGGCCAUUACUGACGCUGAGGAGCGAAAGCGUGGGGAGCGAACAGG